GAAUGAGUAGCUCAGGUGAUAGAGCAUGAGACUCUUAAUCACAGGGUCAUGGGUUCGAGUCCCGUGUUGGGCA